rnacentral:snRNA from 1 species
AUGCUCACUUUGGCAGCACAUAUACUAAAAUUGGAACGACACAGAGAAGAUUAGCAUGGCCCCUGCACAAGGAUGACAUGCAAAUUCGUGAAGCGUUCUGUAUUUUU